ACUUCCCCGCGGAUCAGAAAGGUCCCCCCACCCGCCAAUUCGGACGGGCCGGAAGUCAAGCGAGUUGCCGCAGCCCCGGCGGCUGGCUUCCCCGAAGCCUGAAAGCCCUGGUGGCCGAGCGUGGGAGGUGCCACACCCCGCCCGGUGUCUCCUGGGAUGUGAAGGGAGGUGGCCGCCCAGUCCAGACUAGCCGGCAGGGCUGCCGCGGGCUGAGCGGAACGUGCCGGGGCGGGAAUUCGCUGCGGGAGAAGUUGGGCAGCAGGGGAGGUCCGGCCCCGCUAGCCCCUCAGGAUCCCGAGGUGUAAAGGGAGAUGCGCGUGUGUGGAGCGGGGCGCGGAGGUGCCUACGCGGGGAAGCGCCUCUCUGCGGGAACGAGUGGGUGUGGAGGCACGUGGAGGACACGCGCGCGUGCAGCCACUUACAGAGCUGUGUGUGGAGGCGCACUAAGCUGUGCCUUCAUACAAAGCCCACCAAGACCAUUCCCUAAAGUCACACACCUGAAUCUUCCUGAUUUGCCAGAAUGAACAGUUGAAAGAAAAGAAAUGGAACCUGCUUGUACUUGGAGUUUAUUGUCUGAACAGAAAGGUCCUUCCAGCUGUGCAGUUUGCCAGUGUCUCAGCUACACUUGCUCUGCCAAGCACUGUAUAAUCCAUACUGUAAAAUCAAAGACCUGAAGUAAGUUGAACUUUGCUUUAAACACUUACGUAUUUGCAAGGUAAAGAUGGGGUUGCUAGAAAUUGCACUGAUCGGACCUGAAAACAAGAUGCAACUAGUGCUCAGCUUCUCCGU